rnacentral:rRNA from 1 species
UACGGGGGGGGCAAGCGUUGUUCGGAAUUACUGGGCGUAAAGGGCUCGUAGGCGGCCAACUAAGUCGGAUGUGAAAUCCCCAGGCUUAACCUGGGAACUGCGUCUGAUACUGGAUGGCUUGAGUUUGGGAGAGGGAUGCGGAAUUCCAGGUGUAGCGGUGAAAUGCGUAGAUAUCUGGAGGAACACCGGUGGCGAAGGCGGCAUCCUGGACCAACACUGACACUGAGGAGCGAAAGCCAGGGGAGCAAACGGG